GGAUUGAUGUAUUCUGCCUGAAGACCCUGAAAACAGAGCCUCGUCCACGAGCAUAGUCACCAGUAGGAUGGCCUGGCCUUGCUAUGUGAUUGACACUGUGACGCCCACUGAGGCAAGAUGACUUGCCCAUCAUCACACAGCGGGUCAGCAGCACAGCUAGGUGGCUUUUAAAAAUCUUGAACGAGGUCUUCCCUGGUGGCACAGUGGUUGAGAAUCUGCC